rnacentral:rRNA from 1 species
UGAAUACGAGAUGCUACGGCGUCGAAGCAGUCUAUGUCAUACUUCCAAGAAAAGCUUGCACUGUCAUAAACAAAUAAUGCCUGUACCAUAACCGACACAGGUGGGUAGGUAGAGUAUACUAAGGGGCGCGAGAUAACUCUCUCUAAGGAACUCGGCAAAAUGACUCCGUAACUUCGGGAGAAGGAGUGCCUUAUUUAUAAGGUUGCAAUAACAAGAUCCAAGCAACUGUUUACCAAAAACACAGGUCUCCGCUAAGUCGUAAGACGAUGUAUGGGGGCUGACGCCUGCCCAGUGCCAGAAGGUUAAAGAAGUUGGUUAGCAUCCGCGAAGCUGAUAACUGAAGCCCUGGUGAACGGCGGCCGUAACAAUAACGGUCCUAAGGUAGCGAAAUUCCUUGUCGGGUAAGUUCCGACCCGCACGAAAGGCGUAAUGAUUUGGAUACUGUCUCGGAGAGGGGCUCGGUGAAAUAGACUUGUCUGUGAAGAUGCGGACUACCUGCACCAGGACAGAAAGACCCUAUGAAGCUUUACUGUAACCUGAAAUUGAAAUUGGACUUUACUUGCGCAGUAUAGGUGGGAGGCGUUGAGAAUAUUCUUGCGGGAUUAUUGGAGCCAUCAGUGAGAUACCACUCUUGUAAUGUUAGAUUUCUAACUUUGUAUCAUUAUCUGGUCAAAGAACAGUUUCAGGCGGGCAGUUUGACUGGGGCGGUCGCCUCCUAAACGGUAACGGAGGCGCACAAAGGUUUCCUCUGAACGGGUAGAAAUCGUAUCUAGAGUGUAAGGCAUAAGGAAGCUUGACUGUGAGACCUACAAGUCGAGCAGGGACGAAAGUCGGUCUUAGUGAUCUGACGGUGCUGAGUGGAAAGGCCGUCACUCAACGGAUAAAAGUUACUCUAGGAUAACAGGCUGAUCUCCCCCAAGAGUUCACAUCGACGGGGAGGUUUGGCACCUCGAUGUCGGCUCAUCGCAUCCUGGGGCGGUAGUACGUCCCAAGGGUUGGGCUGUUCGCCCAUGAAAGCGGUACGCGAGCUGGGUUCAGAACGUCGUGAGACAGUUCGGUCCAUAUCCGGUGUAGGCGUUAGAAUAUUGAGAGGAGCCUUCUUUAGUACGAGAGGACCGAGAAGGACAUACCUCUGGUGUACCAGUUAUCGUGCCAACGGUAAACGCUGGGUAGCUAUGUGUGGAGUGGAUAACCGCUGAAAGCAUCUAAGUGGGAAGCCCACCUCAAGAUAAGUAUUC